rnacentral:rRNA from 1 species
AUUGAACGCUGGCGGCAGGCCUAACACAUGCAAGUCGAACGAGUGGCGGACGGGUGAGUAAUGUCUGGGAAACUGCCUGAUGGAGGGGGAUAACUACUGGAAAAGGUAGCUAAUACCGCAUACCAUCGGAUGUGCCCAGAUGGGAUUAGCUAGUAGGUGGGUGAAAGGCUCACCUGGGCGACGAUCCCUACCUGGUCUGAGAGGAUGACAGGUCAAACUGGAACUGUGACACGGUCCAGACUCCUACGGGAGGCAGCAGUGGGGAAUAUUGCACAAUGGGCGAAAGCCUGAGGCAGCCAUGCCGCGUGUAUGAAGAAGGCCUUCGGGUUGUAAAGGACUUUCAGCGGGGAGUCGUUACCCGCAGAAGAAGCACCGGCUAACUCCGUGCCAGCAGCCGCGGUAAUAC